rnacentral:rRNA from 1 species
AUUGAACGCUGGCGGCAGGCCUAACACAUGCAAGUCGAACGGUAACAGGAAGAAGCUUGCUUCUUUGCUGACGAGUGGCGGACGGGUGAGUAAUGUCUGGGAAACUGCCUGAUGGAGGGGGAUAACUACUGGAAACGGUAGCUAAUACCGCAUAACGUCGCAAGACCAAAGAGGGGGACCUUCGGGCCUCUUGCCAUCGGAUGUGCCCAGAUGGGAUUAGCUAGUAGGUGGGGUAACGGCUCACCUAGGCGACGAUCCCUAGCUGGUCUGAGAGGAUGACCAGCCACACUGGAACUGAGACACGGUCCAGACUCCUACGGGAGGCAGCAGUGGGGAAUAUUGCACAAUGGGCGCAAGCCUGAUGCAGCCAUGCCGCGUGUAUGAAGAAGGCCUUCGGGUUGUAAAGUGCUUUCAGCGGGGAGGAAGGGAGUAAAGUUAAUACCUUUGCUCAUUGACGUUACCCGCAGAAGAAGCACCGGCUAACUCCGUG